rnacentral:ribozyme from 2 species
AGUCGUUAGGGCGACUAUAAACAGACAUUAAGCCCUAAGCGUCCCCUACUAGCUAGGGGGGUUGUA